CACGUUNUCCGUGCCGUAGCUAACGCAUUAAGUACCCCGCCUGGGGAGUACGGCCGCAAGGCUAAAACUCAAAGGAAUUGACGGGGCCCCGCACAAGCGGCGGAGCAUGCGGAUUAAUUCGAUGCAACGCGAAGAACCUUACCUGGGUUUGACAUAUGCCGGAAGCGUUCAGAGAUGGGCGUGCCUUUUUGGUCGGUUUACAGGUGGUGCAUGGCUGUCGUCAGCUCGUGUCGUGAGAUGUUGGGUUAAGUCCCGCAACGAGCGCAACCCUCGUUCAAUGUUGCCAGCGGGUUAUGCCGGGGACUCAUUGGAGACCGCCGGGGUCAACUCGGAGGAAGGUGGGGAUGACGUCAAGUCAUCAUGCCCCUUAUGUCCAGGGCUUCACGCAUGCUACAAUGGCCGGUACAGUGAGCUGCGAGCCUGUGAGGGUGAGCGAAUCUCUAAAAGCCGGUCUCAGUUCGGAUUGGGGUCUGCAACUCGACCCCAUGAAGUCGGAGUCGCUAGUAAUCGCAGAUCAGCAACGCUGCGGUGAAUACGUUCCCGGGGCUUGUACACACCGCCCGUCAAGUCAUGAAAGUCGGUAACACCCGAAGCCGGUGGCCUAACCCGUUUGGGAGG
rnacentral:rRNA from 1 species